GCCUUCUUAGCUCAGUUGGGAGAGCGUUAGACUGAAGAUCUAAAGGUCCUGUGUUCAAUCCACAGAGGGGGCA